GCUGGCUCUUCACAGGGCAUGUGCUCGUCCCAUCUAUUUAUCUUCUCUUGUGCACCUUUUGUAGUCUUUUUGAAUGAAUAGCAGUUAUUGGAGCGUGAGCGCGCAAGCGCACUGCACCUGUCUGUUUUGCUUUCUUCAGAGGGACUACGUUUUCAUAUACACUAUAAAGUUACAGAAUGUCUUUUAAGGAUUGCGCUCGUCGUAGUCAUUAAACCUAUACAACUUUCAGCAACGGAUCUCUUGGCUCUCCCAUCGAUGAAGAACGCAGCGAAAUGCGAUAAGUAAUGUGAAUUGCAGAAUUCAGUGAAUCAUCGAAUCUUUGAACGCACCUUGCGCCCUUUGGUAUUCCGAAGGGCAUGCCUGUUUGAGUGUCAUUAAAUUAUCAACCUUGCUUUGCUUUUACUAGCAUUGCUCGGCUUGGAUGUGGGGGUUUUUGCUGGCUUCCUUCAGUGGAUGGUCUGCUCCCCUUAAAUGCAUUAGUGGGAUCUCUUGUGGACCGUCACUUGGUGUGAUAAUUAUCUAUGCCAUGCGACUUUGAAGCAAACUUUAUGGGAACCUGCUUAUAACCGUCCCUCACAAGGACAACUUAUUGACAUUCUGACCUCAAAUCAGGUAGGACUACCCGCUGAACUUA
rnacentral:rRNA from 1 species